AUGACGUCAAAUCAGCACGGCCCUUUAUGUCCAGGGCUACACACGUGUUACAAUGGCCAGUACAAAGGGCAGCUACCGAGUGACCGGAUGCUAAUCUCUAAAGACUGGUCUCAGUUCGGAUCGAAGUCUGCAACCCGACUUCGUGAAGCUGGAUUCGCUAGUAAUCGCGCAUCAGCCAUGGCGCGGUGAAUACGUUCCCGGGGCUU
rnacentral:rRNA from 1 species